rnacentral:tRNA from 1 species
GCGAGUGUAGCUCAGUUGGUCAGAGCACCGGAUUGUGGAUCCGGGGGUCGCGGGUUCGAACCCCGUCACUCGCCCCA